rnacentral:rRNA from 1 species
UACGGGGGGGGCAAGCGUUGUUCGGAAUUACUGGGCGUAAAGGGCUCGUAGGUGGCCAACUAAGUCAGACGUGAAAUCCCUCGGCUUAACCGGGGAACUGCGUCUGAUACUGGAUGGCUUGAGUUUGGGAGAGGGACGCGGAAUUCCAGGUGUAGCGGUGAAAUGCGCAGAUAUCAGGAAGAACACCAAUGGCGAAAGCAGCUCUCUGGGACGGUACUGACGCUGAGACGCGAAAGCGUGGGGAGCGAACAGG